GAGUCUGUGGUGGUCCUUCUGUUCUAGAAAGUGCCCUCUUUCCUGGCAUCCCAAAAAUCUGGGAGGGUCAAGGAGAAACUGAUUUUCAAAAAUACCCUUUCCUGCAGGAGUUCAAGCCCCUACCUACCGACCGACCUGUGGUCUCUGAAGUUGGACAAUGCUCCCCAACAGGUGCAAACAGAAUACCUGUUUGACCGGGCUUUGUCUCUAGGAAACUACAUACGAGGUGAUGGAAAUGCUAUUAAGAGUGAUGUGAAUUAACACAGAGACCUACAAUUGAUUCAGGGAUCUAUGUAGAAGAGGAAGCAGGGAGAUUCUAAGAGCCAGAGAUGGUGGAUGACUUCAAAGAAACAAUGUUUUCCAGCUACAACAGUUUGCAGCAGUAUGGAGGCUGGCAGGAUUGCCCAAGCAGAAGGCUGAGGCCACAAGAGGAACAAUCUGUUGGAGCAAGGCUUUGGAGCACUUGUUCGUGAAGGGUGUAAUAAUAAGUGCCGUGGUGUGGGAACUUAAACAAAUAAGAAUCUCCUUCCUCAAAGUUUGAGAGGCCCAAGAUUCAAGAUGGACAUGUCCACAGGAUGGGCGUCCUUCACUCCUGUAUCCAUUGCUAGGCUUUGCCUUCCUGCCCACUCAUGAACUCAGAGAUACUUGGAUGGCUCUAUAUGAAAGGCAAAAGAAAAGGAAGAGAAAGCAAGUCAAGACAGAGUUGGCACACACAUGCAACCGUUCCCUGGUGGUUCCCAUUGGAGAGAACCAAUGAUGGAAGGCCUUGGAGAAGCAGAACAGGCAGCUAUGUCCCUUAUGAAGAUGAGGAAGCCAGGGAGAAAUACAGAUAACACCUUAAAGGACAUGCUGAAUCUAGCACAAUGGAUUGGAAGGGUGAACCUCUACCAUCACUUACUGGAGAACGCAUUUGACCAAUGAGAUACUGAGCUAAUCACAAGCACUAGACAUUCCUGGAGAAGAAGGAGGGGAAGCUGCUUAGAAAAACCUGCUCAACCUAUUAUGGAGUCCUUGAAUUAUCGGAGGAUACUUCCACAGUUCCCCAGGUCCAGUGAAGUAGCGGGCAUGCAGCAUUGGCCACUCCAUUGUUGUGUUUGUCUGUCAGAAUGAUGACACCUCUCAAACCAACAAGAAAAUACAAACUUGCUUCAAUAGCAUCUUGCCUUUGUACAUUAGUAUCUUUGGACAAAAGCAAAGACAAUUAUUCAGUGAGCUGUAAAAAUGAAUAAAUAAAUACUUUG
ensembl:processed_transcript 4930412L05Rik RIKEN cDNA 4930412L05 gene